rnacentral:rRNA from 1 species
AGGACGAACGCUGGCGGCGUGCUUAACACAUGCAAGUCGAGCGGAAAGGCCCUUCGGGGUACUCGAGCGGCGAACGGGUGAGUAACACGUGAGUAAUCUGCCCCUAGCUCUGGGAUAGCUCCGGGAAACCGGGAUUAAUACCGGAUACGACCACUUUAGACAUCUGUUGUGGUGGAAAGAAUUUUGGCUAGGGAUGAGCUCGCGGCCUAUCAGCUUGUUGGUGGGGUAACGGCCUACCAAGGCGACGACGGGUAGCCGGCCUGAGAGGGCGACCGGCCACACUGGGACUGAGACACGGCCCAGACUCCUACGGGAGGCAGCAGUGGGGAAUAUUGCGCAAUGGGCGAAAGCCUGACGCAGCGACGCCGCGUGGGGGAUGAAGGCCUUCGGGUUGUAAACCCUUUCAGCAGGGACGAAGCGAAAGUGACGGUACCUGCAGAAGAAGCGCCAGCUAACUACGUGCCAGCAGUCGC